AGGACGAACGCUGGCGGCGUGCUUAACACAUGCAAGUGGUGCGACGAACCAGGGCUUGCCCUGGGGCAAAGCCGCGAACGGGUGAGUAACACGUGGGUAAUCUGCCCCGAUGACCGGGACAACCCGAGGAAACUCGGGCUAAUACCGGAUGACGAGCCAAGGCGUAAGCCUUGUCUCUAAAGGAAGCUUCGGCCUCCGCAUUGGGAGGAGCCCGCGGCCCAUUAGCUUGUUGGUGGGGUAACGGCCUACCAAGGCAUCGAUGGGUAGC
rnacentral:rRNA from 1 species